rnacentral:rRNA from 1 species
UACGUAGGGUGCAAGCGUUGUCCGGAAUUAUUGGGCGUAAAGAGCUCGUAGGCGGCUUGUCGCGUCUGCUGUGAAAACCCGAGGCUCAACCUCGGGCCUGCAGUGGGUACGGGCAAGCUAGAGUGCGGUAGGGGAGAUUGGAAUUCCUGGUGUAGCGGUGGAAUGCGCAGAUAUCAGGAGGAACACCGAUGGCGAAGGCAGAUCUCUGGGCCGGUACUGACGCUGAGGAGCGAAAGCAUGGGGAGCGAACAGG